UAGAUGGGAUCUGCACGAGUUUUUGUGAAAAUGGGUGUGUUUAACCUCCGGAAUGAACUCUGGUUGAAGCUCUUAGGAUUGAGCAAUAAUGAAUGCCGCGCAUGUUUUAUGUGAACGGAACGGAUAUGUACCCCCAAACUUGCUCCAAUUUUGGUCCUUGUGGAUAUGUACCUGAUUCGGCCCUGAACCUUUUGGAUGUGUAAUACUAGUUUUUGGCGCAUCAUCUUUGCCGUUAUUGUGUUAGUUUACUUGUUGCAGAAAGCAUGCUUCUGAGAAACUUGCUUUCAUCUUUGUUUGCUAUUCUCAAAACACUGGUUUUCCAUUGCCAUCUGUUUUUCUUUUAAAGAAACUUGCUUCUGUUGUCAUUGAUGGGGCGUCCUGGUUGAUUGGAGAUGAGUACUUGAAGCACGUCAUGAUUUCGGAGGUUUGCCUCUGACAGCAACGGAUUUCAACUAGAAAAACUGGGCGAAAAACAGAUUGAAAACCGGCUGAAAACCAUCAUAUCUGAACAAAUUACUCCAUAGGUGAUUGUCGAGAUAACCCACAUUGUAGCGGACGCGUGAAGGUGAAUGAAAAUCUGCACAAAAACUUAGCCACUUGCAACCACCUUCAAUCUUGCCACAAAAGCCUGGACACCACCACCGCUAACCAUCGGUCCUGCUUGUCGUGAGCUCCAAGAUGAAGCCCCUGAGAGGGAAAAUGACACACCCGAGUGCCACAAUCGUCCGAUCACAAGAUCAAGGGUUUCCCUUGAAGAGGGAGGCCAUGAUGGUCGGGUCCCUGCAGGAGGUGUGCGAUAGCAUAACACCGAUGCCUAAAGGAAGGUUAAGGACGACCACAACCGCAACCAUUGUUGGUCAUGGCACAAAGGUCGAGAUGGGGUCUUCACCCAAGCUCCCUUACCACCUCGGUCGCACAUCAUCCCGCACUGGCGCCGGCAAGACCGCCAACCACCGUCUCUCACAAACCAUCAUCCCACACUGGCGCCGGCAAUGUCUCUUCUCUCUACUCGAAUCAUUAUCACAUGGGCCGCUCGUAAAGAUGGAAGUUACUCUCUGGGCCAUUUGAUCGUCACGUUGAAAGGCCAUUCACGAAAGCAUCUUUCAAAGCCGGGCUGCAUUGCAUUCUUUUGUCACAAGAUUCAUUGAUGUCCAAAUUAUUCAUGAGAAGAAGCCGUUAGCUGCUGUGGUGGGCAUUGCUACUGCAAAUAUGGGUGCUCAUCGCCCCAAGGGGCCCCCUCCGUACUUUGCAAAAAUCCACCUUGACGCGACUAUUCAGCCAUGUAUGGGAGAAUCGGCGGUGGCUGUUUGCCGGGACAACAACGACAACUAUCUACGCAGCUCGGCACUAGUUAUUGGAGGUGUUCAUGGCCCAACGGCUGGCUUGCCGUGAAGCUCUAUCAUUAGCAAGAGACCUUCAUCUACACAAUUUUAUCAUAACAUCUGAUUCUAAACAAGUUGCGGGAGAUAUUAGGCAAGGUAGCUAGGGUAGAGUUAGUGCCAUCAUCAGUGAGAUCAAAGCAGAGCAGCUUCUUUUAAUUGUAAUUUUACUUUCGAAUGUCGUGUUAUUAAUUUCGACGCACAUAGUUUACUAGUGAGGUUCUCUUUCUUUACCUCGGCCCGAAUUGUAUCCCACUAAUUAUGGUCUUUGAUCCCCUAAAAAAAUGAUUUUUGAUUAAUAAAAUUGGCUUUACCCUAAAAAGGUAAAAAAUAAUUAUCUCCCAAAAAAAGCUAAAACGAAAAAAAAA
rnacentral:lncRNA from 1 species